rnacentral:rRNA from 1 species
AACGCUAGCUACAGGCUUAACACAUGCAAGUCGAGGGGCAGCGCAGUGUAGCAAUACAUGGGCGGCGACCGGCGCACGGGUGCGUAACGCGUAUCCAACCUUCCCGUUACUCAGGGAUAGCCUUCCGAAAGGGAGAUUAAUACCUGAUGGUGUUCAAAUUCCGCAUGUUAUUUGAACUAAAGAUUUAUCGGUAACGGAUGGGGAUGCGUGACAUUAGAUAGUAGGCGGGGUAACGGCCCACCUAGUCUACGAUGUCUAGGGGUUCUGAGAGGAAGGUCCCCCACACUGGAACUGAGACACGGUCCAGACUCCUACGGGAGGCAGCAGUGAGGAAUAUUGGUCAAUGGUCGGAAGACUGAACCAGCCAAGUAGCGUGAAGGAUGAAGGUUCUAUGGAUUGUAAACUUCUUUUAUACGGGAAUAAAACCUCCCACGUGUGGGAGCUUGUAUGUACCGUAUGAAUAAGCAUCGGCUAACUCCGUGCCAGCAGCCGCGGUAAUACGGAGGAUGCGAGCGUUAUCCGGAUUUAUUGGGUUUAAAGGGAGCGUAGGUUGACAUAUAAGUCAGCUGUGAAAGUUUACGGCUCAACCGUGAAAUUGCAGUUGAUACUGUAUGUCUUGAGUGUACAAGAGGUGGGCGGAAUUCGUGGUGUAGCGGUGAAAUGCUUAGAUAUCACGAAGAACUCCGAUUG